ACGCGCAGGCCGGAGGCUGGCCCCCCAGGAUAGGGCCAAACGUCCGUCAGGGGUGAGCAGAUGUGCGCCGGCCGUACCGCCCCAUUCUUGUCUACCUUACUCGGUUGCCUCGGCGGGCCGCGCUCUCCCAGGAGAGCCGUUCGGCGAGCCUCUCUUUAUAGCGGCUCAACGCUGGACCGCGCCCGCCGGAGGACAGACGCAAAAAAAAAAAUUCUUUCAGAAGAGCUGUCAGUCUGAGCGUUAGCAAGCAAAAAUCAGUUA
rnacentral:misc_RNA from 1 species